CCCGGAGGCGGCCCAGGCGGGGGUCUCCCCCGGGGCCUGGGGCGGGCCGAAGAUGUCCAGGCCUGGCCGGAGCCGCCUCCUGAUUGACGAGGCCCGCAUGGGAGUGCGGACGUGCAGCACAGACUUGCGGGUCUCCUGGGCCUCUUGGGCGGUGAUCAGCGCGGACCUUGGGCCAACCGGGGAAGCAGGCCGGAGCACUACCCCCCACCCCCAUUUUAGAACAUCCUUCUGAGGGCUUCGCUGACCUCGGCUUGAACUCCUUCAGAGCCGGAGAGAUCACUCCUUCCACCACCGAGGGAGAGGAGGCAAAAAUGAAUUUGCCAGCUUUGAAUUCAUUCUCAAGGCUCCGCUAGUCUCACAGCCAGUGAACUCAGUCUGGAAUUCCUGAAAGCUCAGAAAACUGCUGCUUAGGUCCACCCGGGCGUGGGGGACGGGGUGUGUGGGGGCGCAGGCGGCGGAGUGGGGGCGUUAUUUUAUUUUCCCCAGGGGAAAUUCUGCCUCCCUAUGCCAUUGGGUGCAAGAAAAGGCACUCCUUUGGGGCCUCAGUCUUCCUACCUGUCACAUGGACAUGGACUGUGAUCACUGCUGCUCUUCCACCCCCGCCCUCCCUGGAGGUAAUGGGGUAAAUUGGAUACCUCUGGGGUCUUGGAAGAAGCUAUGACUUAUUUACUGUCUACUAUGUGCUGAAGCCACUUGCUCAGAGCCGCACAGCAAGCCCACCCCCCUGAACCUCCAGAUUCCCAGCUCAGCAUUGUGUCCUGACAGUGUCAUCAUAGACAGUCAACACCGUCACCUGGGCAGCACUGAAGCCCAGAGCGGGAGAGACUGGCUCAAGACCAUGGGGAGCUCAGGAAGGGGAAUUGCACUGAAGAUUUGUCCCAUCGUGAAGCAAGAGCACUGGAACUUACACUCCACCAUCAAUUGAGGCUGACAAAUGUGUAAUGGAAGUCACUGCCUCCAUUGCAUCCAGCGGGCAUCAGUGGAGGACCAUGACAUUCUUUCCCAGUGUGCCGGGAUGUGACUCCAGAACCCUGCUCAACACAGCCUGCAGGCAGCCACUGGUGAUCUAUCAGAGUGGCUGGGAGAAGAGAGCUCUUGUGCACCGAUGAGGAGAUGAGGAACCUGAGAGCUGGAGAACAGAAGUCAGUUGUCUGAGGUCAUCUGGUUUGUAAGUGAUAGAGCAAGGACCUGCACCCAGCUUCGGAGGCCGUUGCUUUUCCAGUGAACCCACACAACCUGCCAAGCAAAAGUCCCUACAAUUUGGAAUAGUUCUGUGAGGAUUCAUUUGCCUGUCUGAACAGUGACUACCAUGAACUCUACAUGCCGUCUACUUCUAACCCUCUUUGGCCUGACUCCAGCUUCAACACCUGGAAACAUGGCAAAAAGAACAGGGGGACAUUGGCUUGGACUGGAGCCAUGUGUCAGAGUUUGACUCAAGGAUAGUUGAUGUAGAAUGAAGAGAAUGAGCAGGGAACAAGAGGUAUAAAUGUGCAUGAUGUUUAUUCAUUCAACAAACAUCAUUUGAGCCCGUGAUUUGUAGUGUACCUUUUCUUAGUUGCUUUGGGUACAGAGCUAUAUAGUCCAUGCCAAUCCAGUGGCUUCAAGUUGGGGGACAGAUGAAAAGACUGGUGCCAGUGGCAAGGGUUGCAGAGAGAAAUGCACAAUGUACAAGGAGCCAAGAGGCAGAAGGAUGGGAGGGGAGAGAGGCCCAAACCUACCACUCACCUGCAGGAAGAAAUUGUUUCUGAUGUAGAGGUUUCACAAUGGAGGCACAUGGACCAAAUUCCAGCAUAGAUAUAUUUGGCCUUAAGAGUGUGUUAAAAAUUAUAAGCUUCCAACUAUGAAAAUCAAGAGAUUUUAUAUUAAAAAUUGGAACUCUGCUCCUGAAGACCCAACAGAACAGGCCACAUUCCCACAGGGGUUGGUUGGAGCCGAGUAGAGGUUGACCCUUAGGCAUGGACUUCCUAGAUCCCCGGCCUCACCAUUCUCUACAGAAGCCCUGGCCUGCAAGUCCCACUUGCUUACUUUGCCUUUUCAACUUUGCUAACGUCUGAAUUUAUGACUGCUAGACUUGUGAGUCCUGUAAAGGGUCACCAGCAUGGUGGCUGGACCCAUUCUGGGUGGGGUAGAUGAAGGCCUGCCACUGGUGCCCACUCCCUGGAAGCCGUUUUAUGCUUCUGAUCAUCAUAAACACAGUCCCAGGCCACACAGGAAAGAUGAGAAGCAACCCCCCAAGCCCGAAGGGCCCCCCUUCGCAGAUGCAGAAUCCAAUUCAAACAGUUUUCCCUUUUUAUUUGCUCAUCUGAAAAGUCCUCCCAGAUUCUCCUUCUUAUUAACAACCUGCACACCAUGCUGUGCUUAAAGUUCAGAGCGCCAUAGGAUACGGAGCCAUAAUUAAUCUCAGUCCCUGAGUUCUAGAAGACUUAGAGCAAUUAUAAUUUACUGUCGGAAAACCAAUUUGGGGAAGCGGUGGUGUUCGCCCCCUGAUCAGGACGCCACCAAAUGCCACUUCCCGUCCACGUGCUGCCUGCCGGGGGAGCAAGACCUUUAGUCUCUGCACCUCUGGGAGGUGUCAGAGUGGAGAAGACAGGAGGAAAGAAGAGGGAGUGGGUGUCGGCGCAGGCUGGCCUGACCACUGCCAGGCACUGCCUCUUUGCUGGCUUUGUCACCCUGCUGUGGACACCUCUUCUCUUUCAAUUUAGUUCAAUUUCACAGUCACCCUCCACAUCCUUUCCAUGUCCCAGGCAGCGUUUGGCUUCAGCAGAUGCCAAGGCCUGUGUUCCCUCUUCUGCCCUUACUCCUUUCCCGGGCCACUGUCAAACUUCCAGCUCCACAGACAGACGUUGCCUUUUUUCACUUUAUUUCUUUUCUGCUCAAGGUCAGAUUGUCAUAUCAUCGAAAUGACUUCGAGAGGACUGGGUCCGAUGGACUCACCAGGCACGGUUCCAAUUAUCAUUCAAGGGACAAGAGUGAAAUGCCAUGGUUCAAAUGAAAACACUCACAUCCACACAGGGUCAGGUGCACACACUGCUGGACGCAGCUGUGUGUUUAUGGGCCUGUCUGCCCGGCCGCCCUGUGCUGGCCAUGGGCCAGAAGCCAUGUCCAUUCCUCUACCAGCCCAAGCACACGGCAGGAGGCCCCACGCAGGGUGGGCAGGUAAUAAGUAGCCACCAAGAGGGUUAACUUAAUGGAAACACAGAUAUACACCAGUCUAUGUGCAAAUAUAAACAUCCACAAGGGAAUGGGCUGAUGAUGACAUUCAUUCACUCAUUUAUUCAUUCGCCCAUUACUGACAGGUACCAGGACCUAUCUAAGUCUUGGGAAUAUUGAAAGGAAUAUAUGUUUGUUUUUGAUACCAGUUUAAAAGUAUCUAUAAUGCAGUAUAAUAAGAGCUCUACUAGAGACUCAUUGAGGGUGUUAUGGGAACAUACAGGCAGGGCCCAGGCUAUCCUGGAGUAGGUGAUAUUUGAGCAAGACCUGGAUUCCUCUGUGCUUGUCUCCAGCUCUGCACUUCAAAGUUGUUCUGAGUUUAUCUGCUUUUGUGCUAGUGUCUUUUUAGAGAAGGGACCCUGUCUUAGCUAUCCUUGAAUCCCUAUCAUUUAGAGUAGUGCCUGGCAUGUGGGGUAACUUGUUUGGAACAUGCACAUAGGAUGAAUGAAUAGUAAGCACUUUCUAGGCAAGGAAAGUGGAGCGGGGCACACCUGCGGAAGGGCAGCAUGGAGAGGAGGAAGAAUGCAGGACUGCAGGUAAGGACAGGUACUAAGUGCCCCAAGGGCAGGGGUGAAAGGAAACAUGGCCAGUGCCGGAGUGAAGAGGAGCUAAGCACACAGACCAGCUCCCAGGGGCACAGUGGGGUUACAGAUUCUGCUACCUCCAGGAACAAGGCAGACAACAGAAAUGAGGACAGGAGGAAGACAUGAGACCAUAGGGAGUGUGGGGCCCAUGGAGAACUGAAAAGCACAUGACCCUCCAACAGCACUGAAAUGCAACAUUACAAGCACACCAUUGGCACUCACCUGGAGUCUCAGCUGCUCGGAAGGCUAAGGCGGAAGGAUUGCUUGAGCCCAGGAGUUUGAGGCUACAGCGAGCCACGAUGGCACCACUGCACUCCAGCCUGAGCAACAGAGCGAGACUCUGUGUCUAAAAAUAAAAAUAAAAUAAAUAAAGUAAAUGCUGUUAGCCAAUCAAAAUAUUUGGGACAUUGGGUGAGGUGCCAACUCUUCUUUCUCCCUGCUUAGUGCUGUACUGAGGGUUGUGCGGUACUGUAGAAAAAGUCCUGCCUGGAGUUUCUGGAGAACCAGAAGCAAAUGUCAGAUGCACUGCUCACUUGCUGGGGGAGCUUGGCCAAAGCUCUUUCCCUCUCUGUGCUUCAGUUUACUCAUCUAUUUGCUUGCCUGUUCUGCCCACUUGCCAAGUUGGUUGAGAUGAUGGAUGCUCAGUGCCCUCUAGAUACUAAAGCUCAGGUACCUGAGGGGCUUUCUUCCUGAGAAUUAAGCCAGGCGAAGUCUGGGCUCCCCAUGGAAAGAGGUGGUCAGUAGGGGACAGACAGCCUUACAGCAGAUCUCCUGCAAUGUCUCACAGGAGGCAGGGCUGUGUUAGAGCAGGAGAUGCCCCUAACUUGAGCGGAGAAGGGGACUUUAUGCAGCUGGAGGGACUGGGGCACAGAGAGUGGCUGGAGUGGCUCUAGAGGAGAUUCUGGAAGAGCCAGAGCUGC